rnacentral:rRNA from 1 species
AACGAAGCACUUUAUUUGAUUUCCUUCGGGACUGAUUAUUUUGUGACUGAGUGGCGGACGGGUGAGUAACGCGUGGGUAACCUGCCUUGUACAGGGGGAUAACAGUUGGAAACGGCUGCUAAUACCGCAUAAGCGCACGGCAUCGCAUGAUGCAGUGUGAAAAACUCCGGUGGUAUAAGAUGGACCCGCGUUGGAUUAGCUAGUUGGUGAGGUAACGGCCCACCAAGGCGACGAUCCAUAGCCGACCUGAGAGGGUGACCGGCCACAUUGGGACUGAGACACGGCCCAAACUCCUACGGGAGGCAGCAGUGGGGAAUAUUGCACAAUGGGCGAAAGCCUGAUGCAGCGACGCCGCGUGAGCGAAGAAGUAUUUCGGUAUGUAAAGCUCUAUCAGCAGGGAAGAUAAUGACGGUACCUGACUAAGAAGCACCGGCUAAAUACGUGCCAGCAGCCGCGGUAAUACGUAUGGUGCAAGCGUUAUCCGGAUUUACUGGGUGUAAAGGGAGCGCAGGCGGUGCGGCAAGUCUGAUGUGAAAGCCCGGGGCUCAACCCC